UCUAUAUUUCCAAAAUUUAUCACUCAUAAUUAUUAAUGAGACAACUCUCUUUAAUUAUACUCAUACCUAACCUUUUGAUUUACUAACCAAAAUUAAGAAACUACGAUAACGCCAAUUCAUUAAAAUGUUCCCAUUCCAAGAUUAUUUGCCCUUCGGUUUUAGAAGAAAAUGAAUCAAUGCUUGAAUUAUAUCGUCAAGCUACAUAUAUGAGUGCAUGCUCUUGAGCAAUAGUAACAAAUCAAUCAAAAUCAGUUUCCUCAUCAAAAGACCCAUUGAAGAACAUAUAAAUGGCAAAGUUGAUCGCUUUUUGCUUCUUUCCUGCACUCAUUCUCCUUGCACCUGGUGUACCUUUCGUUAAUUUUUUUUUUUAAAAAAAAAAAACCUUUACAAAAUGGGUUCAAAACUAAUUUCAAGUAUACAAAUGAAAAUUUUCACAAGAUGCAUCAUGCAUGGCUAAUAGCUAACAUAUAUGUUGUGUUCAUGAAAACAGAUGAAAUUAAGCGUGAGGCAUGUUGCAGAAGCAAAGGAUAUAAUUAAAAUUUGCGAAAAAAUUUGGCCCUGCAAAGGGGAUAUUCAGUGCAGAGACGACUGCCAAAAAUUGUACUAGGGAGACGGGUGGUGUGAUUUUCAUAAGGUGCCAUAAUUCCUCAAAAUUGCAAUUGUACAUAUAAUUGUUGAUUUCAAAUUUCUCUGGCUAUAUGUACUUGAGUCUUGAAAUUAAUUUAAAGAAAAAAAAGUUCAUACCCUGAACAAUAUGAUACAUAUUAAAGAAAGAUGCACAUUAACGAUACUUCAACCACUAAAACACUAUUAAAGACCUAAUUAAGUGGUUUUCAAACAAUUUUAUUUGAUUGAUUAUAACUCGAGUUUGAAUUUUGAGAGAAGUAAGAGGUUUAAAAAUUAGUUUGGACUUUAUCCAAACUUUAUAAUAAUUAAAAGAAGACCUAAUCACUUGAGGAUUCUCAGCAGCAACACCAAAAAUGAUUCUCUUCAAGCCCCUUUUUCUUUUCAAAACAUGGAAGGAGUGUCGUCCCAAAAUAAUAAGGAUCUCAUUUAAAUGAAUUCACAUAUAAUCAUUUUUCCAAAAGCUUAGUCGUUCUAUGCUUUUCAAAUUCAGCAGUAUGCCCCCUAAAUAGUCUUACAUGUAUCGUCAUGAGCGUUCACAGACGACUAGCUAGUAUUAAUUGCGCAUGCACGUUGCAACUUCUUAGUAUAAUUUUGAGAGAGACAGUGCAAAAAGACAGAAAUAUCUUAAGGCUAUAUUAUUCUUUCUGCUAAUUUUUAAUAAUAAACGUUAAUCACUUAAUAUUAGAUAUCAAUACCAAAGCCAUGCUAUUGCUUGCUAGAUUAUUAAACAAGUAAUUAUUAUUAAGCAUGCAUGGUACCACCAUCACACAUGGAGCUUGACCUUGCUGAUUUUCAAGGGGACAGGGGCGGUGGCCGCCGCCGCAACUGCCGAAUUUUAUGCUGGUUUUGAAUCGACUCCUUCAACCGUUUGUAAUCGACCCAGCCGAUCUUGUGCUCAGCUUUAAGAGUAACUAGUAAUGCAAGAAUUGCUAAGAUCAUUAGCCAUAUUGCGAACUUAUUGUACAACGCCAUGAUUUUG
rnacentral:lncRNA from 1 species